rnacentral:rRNA from 1 species
CAGUCGCCGCGGUAAUACGUAGGGGGCUAGCGUUGUUCGGAAUUACUGGGCGUAAAGCGCACGUAGGCGGCUUGGUAAGUUAGAGGUGAAAGCCUGGAGCUCAACUCCAGAAUUGCCUUUAAGACUGCCGAGCUAGCAGGUGAGAGAGGUAAGUGGAAUUCCGAGUGUAGAGGUGAAAUUCGUAGAUAUUCGGAAGAACACCAGUGGCGAAGGCGGCUUACUGGCUCAUACUGGACGCUGAGGUGCGAAAGCGUGGGGAGCAAACAGGAUUAGAUACCCCUGUAGUCCCUGUCCUUAUACA